CCUACGGGAGGCAGCAGUGAGGAAUAUUGGUCAAUGGCCGGAAGGCUGAACCAGCCAAGCCGCGUGAAGGACGAAGGUGCCAAGCAUUGUAAACUUCUUUUGUCAAGGGACAAAAUCAGGUUCGAGAGCCUGUCCGAGGGUACUUGAAGAAAAAGCAUCGGCUAACUCCGUGCCAGCAGCCGCGGUAAUACGGAGGAUGCGAGCGUUAUCCGGAUUUAUUGGGUUUAAAGGGUGCGUAGGCGGACUGUUAAGUCAGCGGUAAAAGCCCGGGGCUCAACCCCGGCGUGCCGGUGAAACUGGCUGUCUUGAGAUGUCGGGAGGUAGGCGGAAGGCGCAGUGUAGCGGUGAAAUGCUUAGAUAUUGCGCAGAACGCCGAUUGCGAAGGCAGCAUACCGGCGGCGAUCUGACGCUGAGGCACGAAAGCGUGGGUAUCGAACAGGAUUAGAUACCCGUGUAGUC
rnacentral:rRNA from 1 species